rnacentral:rRNA from 1 species
UACGAAGGGGGCUAGCGUUGCUCGGAAUUACUGGGCGUAAAGGGCGCGUAGGCGGCUCUGUUAGUCAGGCGUGAAAGCCUGGGCUCAACCUGGGGACUGCGCUUGAUACGGCGGGGCUUGAGGGCAGGAGAGGCUCGCGGAAGUUCCCAGUGUAGUAGGUGAAAUUCGUAGAUAGUUGGGAAGAACACCGGUGGCGAAGGCGGCGAGCUGGCCGUGUUACUGACGCUGAGGCGCGA